AAUAGAGGUUCGUUUGAAGAGGUCCCAAUCCAAGUAUCUUCAAAAUAUCUUGAGAAAGCUUCCAUAUCUAAUGGUAGAGUCGGCUUGAAAAGCCUCCCAGCUUUAUCUACUUGGCCCAGAGGGACCAAGGGAAGGGCACCCAUCAUUUGGAAGGCGGUGCAUAUCUCGGAGAUGACAACCCGAUACUCCAGGACAAGGUCCUGCGCUGUAAACUUCCUUCAUAUGCACUGCUUGUAGUGGAGGUAACAUCAACGCAGUCUUGUGUCGGGCCAGACUGAGAGGAUGGCAUUCUGAAGCCCCUUCUCAUAGACGGACAGGAUGAUAUCUGGGCAAAAAGGAAGGAGCCCAUAAACUGCAGGAAUAGAACGGCCUUGAGGACGCAGUCCGUGAACAAUAACAAGAUAUUAAAAAAGAGACGGCACGACUUUAAAGGUACCAUCGAUGAUCCAAUUCGACUUAUCUAGAAGCCCGUGUUGUAGGUUUGACGGUGUUCCAAAGAGCAAGGACCAACGCAAAGUGUUUGAGUUGUUGGAGUCCCAGAUGAGAAGAUAAUCUACUACAUGAGUUCUUAAAUAAGGUGGAGGUAUAAAUAAAUUUUCUAGGGAUGUCGGAUUAUCCAGAUGCUUUGCUUCCUUUUGUCGAACUCGACGAGCCAUUCUUCGCAGUAAGGAGGGAUCACAAUUUAGUUUUAAAUGUGUUUCCAAACCAAGCCCUGCAACUGCCUUGGCUUACAGGAUUUUAGUAGUCAUGUGAGUGGAGAUGGCUUUUUCUAUAAGUGUCUUUUUCCUUCUAUGCACUUCAAGUUCCGCCUGUUGUUCCCCGUGACUAUGAAUAGGAUCAUUGAUAGGGAUGUCUCCGAUCCAAGAAAAGCCGUGCUCUGAACCCUUGGUGGUAGAGGGUGCAUUACCAGUAGGACUUCCGGUUCCUUUGCUUUUCCUUCGAAUGCCCAUGACCUCUAAAUAUUAUAUUCGUGGAUCCUUUCUUCCCAGUCGUGAACUCUAUAGGCGUAGGGUUAUCAUGAAGAACAUGAGCUCUAGAGGCUUCUAGGAGAGGAGGGUCAUGAAAUUGUGGUGGAGGAAGAGGUACCAAAUCAAUUGUAUUGAGGGAAUUGUUGUGGAAGGACAUUAUAAGCUAAACUGGUUAUGGUUAAUGUAUCCAUAAAAUCAUUCCGUGUCAGGGGGGAUUCGUCUUGAACAUUUUUAUUAAUAUUGAGCAAUUUACUUUUAAUGAUAAAUACCACUUCUUUUAAAAGAGAAGCUAAUUUUAAAAAUGCCAGAAUUUAUUGUAUUAUACGAAGGAAUCUUAAUCAGACUUUUGAAAUUCAGCACCAUAACCUUAAAAUUGGAACUUCUCAAUACCUUUACAAAUAUAUAAUUUCUAUUAAAAAUAUGUUAUUUUCAAAUGACUAGGGGUUACAAAAACGGCAUUUGAAGACUAAACUUUUCAAAUGUAUCUUUUUUAUCAAUACAUAACAGAAAAUCAGAUUACCGAAAAACGGUUACCCCCCUAGUACACACGUUAAGAUAAAAAAUUAGAAACUUCAGAAUAUUAAAUGAAAAUCAAACAAUAAGCAUGAAUGUGAAAAUAAAAACAUCAUAUAUUUUAAUCUCAAGCCAAUCUAUUGUUUUAUAUAUCCGGACACAUAGCCUCUUCCAUCAUUAAGUUUUUCAAAAUUAAAGAUUACGAACCUUUUUGAUUUCUGAGAAAUCAAUAACUCAUAGUGUGUGAAUUUUCUGGCGAAGAUCGAGAUCUCAUCGAAACUUUUCAAGAUAGUGUUAAUAGGGGUGGUCUUAAAAGGGCUUCAGAUUUAUUAUUAUACUUAACUACGUUUCAUGCUAGUCAGCUUUACAAUAUGAUAUUCUCAGCGAACAAACUCGACACAUUUUAUUAACGUCGACAAAUCCAAGACGAUGCUUUACAAAGCUAUUUGUCAAUUUAUUAGAAACGGGAGAUUCUUAUCAUCCUAUUGGGUUGGAGUGUAAAAAACAGUAUCAUUUUGCUAAUUAUAUUGCUCAUGUUGUAUUUAAAUAUUAUAAUAUAUGAAGUAAAAGUAUCAUAAAUGAGGUAAAUAGUAGCAUACACUCGGAUAAAAAUGGUCAAAUUCUCAUGGUGCAAGUUAAAGAAAAAUUACUAAGUUAUCUUUUAAAUCUUGAGUUUACAUUUUCUUUCGUUUAAUAAAGGAUUUACUA
rnacentral:lncRNA from 1 species